rnacentral:rRNA from 1 species
AGAGCGAACGCUGGCGGCGUGCUUAACACAUGCAAGUCGAGCGGAAAGGCCCUUCGGGGUACUCGAGCGGCGAACGGGUGAGUAACACGUGAGCAACCUGCCCUUAGCUCUGGGAUAGCUCCGGGAAACCGGAAUUAAUACCGGAUAUUACACCGGCUGGCAUCGGCUGGUGUGGAAAGAUUUAUCGGCUAAGGAUGGACUCGCGGCCUAUCAGCUUGUUGGUGGGUAGAAGCCUACCAAGGCGACGACGGGUA